AUUUCUUUAAUAUAUAAUUAAAUUUAAAUUUUAUUAAUCGAAAUAAUUUAACGUUUAGUAAAAUGACGAUUGUUUAAAAUGUAAAAUGAUUAUUCGCGAAAAGUAGUGCGUGGGUGAACGAUUGAUUUAAAUUAACUUAAAUACGCCGUGUUAAAUGCGUGCUUAAAUUUAAUAGAUCGCCUAGAUGUAACGAAUAAUUAGGCAUGAAUGAAGAUGCGGGUUGAACGCCAUUCAUAGAUUGUAAAAACUUUGAAUUUCAAACUGAAUGCGUGGGGGGCUUUCGUUGCGUUUGAUUCGCCACCCUAUACGUUUCAGUCUAUAGUUAAUUUGUUGCAGCAUAAGAGCGCUUGGUCUGUAAUUUUUCGCGUGUCAUGUUAGUUUUUGCUAGUCAAUUUUCGAACGAACCUUAAAUUAGGGGCCGCGUGGCCUAUUUUAUCCCCCUUUCUGCUUCCCAGUUCUCCACACCGUUGCUUGUAUUCUUGUCCUUGCUAGAGUAACGUCUUUCUGCUAGUUUGACGUUCAUUAGAUAAGCAAGUUUGUUUCGUGUACGAGUUCAGUUUAUUUCUCAACUAUCAUAUCACUCGACGUCACAGUUGAUUUUUUCAUCUGUAUGCCUUGCGUACGCUCUCAUCCUUUCAAAUUUUCCAUGAGAUGUAUUAUACCCGGAUAUUCGUGGAAAAGAGAUAAAUAUGUUUCUAUAGUCUUCCUGCAGCUGUUGGUAAUGCAAAUACCCUUCCUUAAUUUGAAAUCUGCAAGAUGGUAUUUGUCUUCAAGCUCUAAUUUUAGCUGAGAGUAGAAUGUGAACGAUGAUAGGACAUUUGCGAGUGGCACAUAGCAUUCGAUUUAAUAUCUUUUAUGAAUAAAGUAAGAAGAAAUUGAUUUAGUUUGGUGGUGAUGCUGGGAUGUGGAUCUGUUUUGAUCCUAUAGGAAGCCGAGAAGGCUGGCGUGCUUCUAUUUUAUUCCUUGUAUUCUUCUCUGGGACGUAUUUUGGUAUUGAUGCCAGUUUAACAAAUGCAGCUGCAUCUAAUGUUCCUCAUAAUACUGUUGCGUCAGAAGUAUCACUACCAAUUUCGACACAUCAUGAAAACGACGAAUGUAGGAAUGUGACCACUGAUAAUAGAGCGGCUACUGGUCUCUCAGUGGUCAGUCAAGGAUCUGGUUCUCCACAUUCGCCGAUAGUGCCUCCAACUUUUCUGUACGGAGUUCUUACCUGCCAACCUUAUCAAGGAAUUUCUGUGAACCACAUCUACUUUCAACUAGCAAAUGCCUUCUUUCUAUUGUCACACCUUGCUCCAAGUGGCAUACAUGGUGUACUCUAUUUAAGGUGCACUCUACUCGUGGGCUGUGCCUUUCUUGCUUUGUGGGGCUGGACAAUAGCUUGCUGGCUGGACGCUGCUCUCUGGAAUGCUCUAUUUGUUGCCAUCAACUUCGUCCAUGUAUGCACGCUUCUUUACAAGCUCAGGCCUAUCAAGUUUUCAAGGGAAGUUGAAGAGGUAUAUAUUGCAGUGUUCCAGCCAUUAAGGGUAUCACGUCAACAGUUUAAAAAAGUAUUAAAUUGUAUGAAGGUUAUACGACAGUUGAAAUAUCAAGAAGUUUAUGCCCAAGAAAAAGUGACAAAAGUUGAUUCUUUAUCUUUGGUACUUUCUGGAAAAUUAGUAGUAUCACAAAAUGGAAGAGCAUUGCACAUUGUCUUCCCACAUCAGUUCCUGGAUUCUCCAGAAUGGUUUGGUGUCUCCACGGACGAAUACUUUCAGGUAUCAAUAACAGCUAUGGAAGAAUCAAGAAUAUUAUUAUGGCAUAGAGACAAGUUAAAGUUAAGCAUAAUUAGUGAUCAAUUUCUGCAGGCAGUGUUUGAUCAUAUUUUGGGAAGGGAUGUAGUCAAAAAAUUGAUGCAGGUAUAUGUCAGUGAAACAAUGGCUGCUAGUAGUCAUCAACAACAAAAUGGCCAAGUAAUUGGUUUAGGUGGUAUUGGAACCUUAGAAAAUGAUCCUGACACCAAACUUUUCGUUGUGAAAAAGACUGGUGACAGUCAAAGUAUUACCGCUCUCAUCAGUCGUCAACUUCAAGAAGAGAGAAUGCCGCUGCUGUACACGACUCAGGAAGUGCUGAACAACACUUUGCAUCAUAUCAAUCACCUACGUACACUUCCCUUAGAUCCUGUGCAACACAAUAAUGUUCAGUCUUCCUUAUAAUAUUCCUGUGACACAGGCUGUGCAAUUACCUUAGCACAAAUUUGUACGUGAUGUAUAUGUAUUAUGUUUCUACACAACGGAUAUCCAUAUGUUAUACAAAUAUCAUCGGGUAACUUCAUUUGUUAUUUUCUUCUGGUUAUUGUAUUCAGCAGCUGGAGAUCCAAAUGCAUGGAGAUUGGGAAGAAUUGAAGAGACUGAUCAUGAAACUCCUGUUUAAUGAAAAAUGAUUGUUAGAUGAGUGUCAUCCUCGACAGUCAAUAUGAAAAAAAAACAACAACGGUCUUUUUACAUAACGAUGAAAUGUAUUCUCAACAUCAUUGAAAACAUGGCAUGGUAUGCUAUGCGUGGAACAAUUGAACAUUCUCUUGCCAAUUAAUAAUUUCUCCCGUAACUAGUCAAGUAUUAUUAAUAAUGGACAAAAAAAGGACAUUUCAUCGUUUAUAGCAUAAUGGUUCCAUCUUAGUUUAUAAAAAUGACGGAAAAAUGUUACUUUAUGCUUCCAAUGUAUUAUCGAAUACCACCAAACUGAUUCAAGAGUGGCUAUUUCUAAUUUACACUAAUUUUCCUCUCGACAUGUGUAUGUUUAGUACCAAAACGAACAAGACUUUACGUAUGUAAUAGAAUGAAAGUUGUUCGAUCGCAACGGCGUAACUUCUUUACUGAAAGAUCUGUGAUUUACUGGAAGUAUAUGGUAUAUAAAAAAAAACGAGAAAAAUUAGGGAGGCCUAAAUACCUGAUUGUUUCCCAUACCCAGAUAUAGUGCCUUUUUACUUGCAUUUCAUUUAUUCAUUUUUUAAGGAAAUUAUAUAUACAAUAUUACUGUGCACUAAUUUACAUGUUCAUUCAAUAUCUUUUAAGAAAGUGGCCGACGGUAACUCACGUAUACACCUCCAGUAAAUGAUUUCCUUCGCACUUUCUAGAAUGGGACCAUUUAAACUGGUCUUUAUUUUAGAAUAAUUGACAAACAUAUUUAUUUACCCAUUGUACAUUUUGAGUGAUGUUGUUAUUGAUAUAAUUAUCAAAGAAUGUUUACUUUACGUACAUUAUUACAUUAAUUUGCUUAAUGAUUUGUCCAUUAUUGAACGUGUACAUUGAGAUAAUACAUUACUGCUCGUUGAAGUACCUAAUGUAUCGACAGUUCCCGUCGGCAACUGGUCGUUUUUGCCAUCAAAACUAUUUAAAGAUAGUUAAAAACUGUUUGCAAAUAGUUUUGGAGGAAUUAUUGCGCAAAUCAUAAUGAUAUUUCAUAAUGCCAUUGGGUAAUGGCGUUCAGAAUAGAGAAUGAAACAGGAAGUUACGCCAAAAAGCGCAGAAUGAUAAUAAAGAAUAUAAAAAAAAAAUAAACAAUUGCAACGUAAGCUACAUUGAUGGAAUAUUUAUAUUGAUAUACAUUGCAGGAUAGAGAAAUAAAAAUGCAUAUAACUUUUAACGGUUAAUGAUGUAAAAUUAUCGAGGAUCGUUACAAUAAUAUUAUAGUCACGAUUAUCAUUCCUUUCGUUUGGGAAACGAUGUUAGCGUUACUUCUAAUUUUACUUACCAGCAGUAAUUAUGAUUAGAAUCGAUUAUAAUUAUAAGUGAUACGAGCAAAAAGAAAAUCAAUACACGCACAGUGAAAUUGAACGUUUCGCGUGUGAAAUUUCUAGGCAAAUUUUCAUUUUCUUGAAAAAACGAAAAACGAAAAGAGAGAGAAUAUAUGGAACAUAAUUUUUUUGGUAAUUUAUGAUUUACUUGGAAUGGAAAUAGUGAAAGUAUUACGUACUGAAAUUUAAUAUAAAAAUCUCAGGUUUCGAUGAUUGGAUACAGUUUUAGGAAAAGAAACUAUAAUGGAACAAAGAAAAUCUUUGAAGACAAGUUUUGUCUAGUCUUUAGCAGAAUGCAUUAAAGAAAUUUAAAAUGUUGCUAAUUAUCUAAUUCAUGCCCAGUUAAGGUUGUAAUAUGUACUAUUAAGAAGACUUUUUAUAUGUAAAAUUAUAGUUCUGAGAAUAUUGUAUUCCAAAUAUUAUAACUAGUUUAAAAGUUGGAUAAUAAUUAUUCUAUCAUAUGUGUAAGGGGUAUUCUUACAAUUUUUCGUUUUUCUUUCUAAUUAUAUAAGAAUACGUUGAUUUAUCUACUUUAUUGGAUAAUCAUACUGUUUUCCUAUACACUGCAAAAUUAUGGGGAAAAAGAACCGAGGAUCAUGUGAUUUUAUUUUACUCUACUAAUACCGUACGUAUGUAUGUAUGAAGGACGUGUAAAUGGUUUGUUCGAUGAAUGUAAAUUAUCCGUUAGUAAUCUUUGUUUUUUUAUUGUUUCUCAUUGUUAUAAUCAUAUACGGUGUCUUUUUAGUAUAAUAGUUAGAUAACACAAAGAGAUAUGGAUGAAGUGAAAGAAAUUUAAUCAUAUUGAAUACAAUGAUGAAAAAUUUAACGAGAA